CCCCCCCCCCCCCCCCCCCCCCCCCCCCCCCCCCCCCCCCCCCCCCCCCCCCCCCCCCCCCCCCCCCCCCCCCCCCCCCCCCCCCCCCCCCCCUCUCACAGAGCUCCGGCCGCCCCGAGCUCCGGCCGCUCCGAGCUCCGCUCUGAUAGAGCUCCGGCCGCUCCGAGCUCCGCUCUGAUAGAGCUCCGGCCGCCCCGAGCCCCGGCCGCUCCGAGCUCCGCUCUCACAGAGCCCCGGCCGCUCCGAGCUCCUCCGGCCGCCCCGGGCUCUGCUGUCACAGAGCUCUGCUAUCACAGAGCUCCGGCCGCUCCGAGCUCCGCUCCCACAGAGCUCCGGCCGGCCCGAGCUCCGCUCCCACAGAGCCCCGGGCACAGAGGAGCGUGUCAGUGCCAGCCUGCCGCGAUGUUUGUAAUGUCAAAACCCAGUAAUUCACCUUAAGGCAAUCCUUGCAUGCCAGCGAUCCCAGGCAUGGUGAAAGAGUCCUGCACACUGCAUCACUGGUGACUUUCUUGCUCCUGUUGGACUUUCCAAACACUGGAAGAGGCUAGGAGAUACUGGGCAGCAUUUCCCUCUCUGAUAAGUAUGUACUGAUUUGGAAAUAGGAUUAAGGGGAUAUAGGGGUAUAAUAUAUAUCCAUAUGUAAUAGGUUGGGGGACUUUAUUUAUUUAUUUUUAAAUUUUAUUUUAUUCUGCCAUAAAUAGGUUGCCACGAGCUUGUGGGAAGACCUGAAUGCAGUGUCAGAGAAGGACUGAUGUGAAGUGGACUAGCUCCAGUCACAGCUGCAAGAGCCAAAUGCAAAUGUUUAAACACUCCUUCCCAGAGGCUGAAGGUAUAUUAUCGGAGCAUUGUAAAAGAAGAGCAAUUCUUUACCAACUCAUGGAAAAACAAUGUGUUUUUGUUCUUGGCCAGAUUCCCCAAAGAGAAUUUAAUUUCAAGACACCACUGACAGUCCGAGAGGAUCCAGCUGCUGGUUGUACCUGGAUUUGAACUCCAGAAGAUAACAGAGCUUUGGUUAAGAGUUUUAGUCACCAUGCACUGUUUCAUCUUGGAAAACACAUACCAAAAGAAAACUGCUCCUAAGUGACUGCAACUGCACAGGUAUCAAAACAUGCCAAUAGCAAGACUAACAUUUCCCAGACCAAAUGUUCAAAACUGUUUCUAUUUUAUCUGAAUAAAAAUACCUGUAUGCUCCUCCAUCCUCCAGCAUGCAAAUCUUAAAAAUACCUUUUCUUGUUUGUCCCCCACAGGGAGCAAUUCAAGUCUACCAAACAGUCUAGCAAAAUAUUAUGAUAACCUUUUCUAUCCUAAUUUGUACUGGAGGCUGUGUGUGUGCUAGGAUCAACAUUAAUUACUGUAU
rnacentral:lncRNA from 1 species